GACGAACGCUGGCGGCGUGCUUAACACAUGCAAGUCGAGCGAGAGCCAGCUGAGGGGUAACCCUCGGCUGGGGACAGCGGCGAACGGGUGCGUAACACGUGGGCAACCUGCCCCUGACACUGGGAUAACCCCGGGAAACCGGAGCUAAUACCGGAUACUCUCGGCCGAUCACAUGGCUGGCCGAGGAAAGGUCCGCCGGUCAGGGAUGGGCCCGCGGCCUAUCAGCUUGUGGUGAGGAACGGCCCACCAAGGCGACGACGGGUAGCUGGUCUGAGAGGACGACCAGCCACACUGGAACUGAGAUACGGUCCAGACUCCUACGGGAGGCAGCAGUGGGGAAUAUUGCACAAUGGGACGAAAGCCUGAUGCAGCGACGCCGCGUGAGGGAUGAA
rnacentral:rRNA from 1 species